GGGCACAUGGUGUAGUUGGUUAUCACAUCCGCUUAGCACUAUGAGCUUGCGGGGGGUGCUGGGUUCAAUUCCCAGUGUGUCCA
rnacentral:tRNA from 1 species